GCACUCGUGGCGCAAUGGAUAGCGCGUAGCCCUCCUAAGGCUGAGGUUGAGGGUUCGAGUCCCUCCGAGUGCGC
rnacentral:tRNA from 1 species